CCCUGCGUUUCCUUCAUUUCCCCAAAUUCACCAUUUCAAUUUUCACCAACCCUUAUUUUACCCCUGAAUUCACCUCACAUACUUCAACCCUCCUUCUCCAUCGCUCCUGCGCCGCCGUCGCUCUGCUGCUUCCGUUGCAUCGCUGUUGUCGUCGCACUGCUACUGCCAUCGCUUCGUCUCUCUGCACCGUUGUUGUUGCUGCUCAAUCAAAAUUAGUUACUCACUUACUCUCUCUCUCUUUUGUUCUUCAUUGAUUUUUCAUCAAUUUUUCGGAUAAAAAAUUUGCUCAGCAUUCCUACAGAAUAGGUCUUCAAAGAUUGAUUUAGUUCUAAUCAUUAAUCUAAUUUGAAUCUUGAAGCAACUUAAAAAGCACAAAAGAACCUAGUAUCUAAUUUCUUCAAUCCCUAAUUUCUCAUAUUCAAUAGCCUCAAAGAGGUUGAUUCAUUUGUUGAAGAAGAACAUUCAGAGAAAUGUGUGGGAGAAUGGUUGCUUGAUUCGUUGUGAGCUUUCGAUCAAGUUGCCAGUAUAUUAUACUCUCAAGAAUAUGAGUGAUGUUGAGAAAGAAUUUGUGAGGGCAAUUGAAGCUGUUGUUGCUAAGUUAAGAGAUUCACAGGCUGUGUACAUGUUAGAGGCAUUAAACAAGACCUCUAUGGAUCUACCUGCACCCAUUGUAAUUCGUGGUGGGCAUUUAGACUUUCGUGCAGACCUCUCCAACAUUUGGCCUUUGGUUGAGGGUGGUGAUAAUUUAUAAAUAAAUAAUUGAGAAAUACAACAGUCACUUGUGGAGAUUGGUGAUAAAGAUCCUUCUGUUGUUGGGACACGGGAUUGGAUUGGUGCUAUUGAGUUGAGCUUUAUUUUGGACAAACUUCUUGGCGUCACAUGCAAAGUGAUCAACGUAAGAUCCAGAGCUGAGCUUCCAAAAAAAUGUUGAGAGCUAGCAUUGCACUUUGAGACCCAAGGAUCACCUAUUAUGCGAAUAUGUUGAUUGGCUUAAAUUCUAAACAUCUAAAUGCAGGUGGUGGUGUACUUGCAUAUACACUCUUGGGAGUGGAUUACAAUGAAGCAAGUGGAGAUUGCGCGUUUUUAAUACUGGAUCCCCACUAUACAGGCACAGAUGAUCUGAAUUGUCUUUUGCUCUCUAAUAUUUUUGGAAUGAGUUACUUUUAACCCUCUAGCAUCUAAAUGCAGGUGGUGGUGUACUUGCAUAUACACUCUUGGGAGUGGAUUACAAUGAAGCAAGUGGAGAUUGCGCGUUUUUAAUACUGGAUCCCCACUAUACAGGCACAGAUGAUCUGAAAAAGAUCGUUAAUGGUGGAUGGUGUGGGUGGAAGAAAGUUGUUGAUAGCAAGGGAAAUAAUUUCUUCUUGCAUGAUAAGUUUUAUAAUCUCCUUCUACCACAAAGGUCCAACAUGGUUUGAUAGGAUCAUUUUCAUGGAGAGUAACAGUUCUUAAUUUGUACCAAUUUUCUUGCAAUGGAAUGGUAGCUUUUUAUGGUUGGAAUUUGAGAGUUCAAUUAAUUAGUUGACUCACUUUUGGGUUGGUGUU